rnacentral:other from 1 species
CGAAUCCUGGAAUGUUCGAUAUGCUUGUAUUUGAACCUACAGAGAUGACACGGGAAUCCAGGUACAUGACCCUAUAUCAAGCCUCAUUCAAAGCCUAUAAUCAGCAGAGGAAGGUAGAAGGCCAUGUCAGGAUACCCACCUAGCGAGGGCUAGGUGUCAAAUCACAGCUUAGCGACAUUUUGGGGGAAAU